rnacentral:ncRNA from 1 species
CACUGCCCAUCGCUACUACUAAUCGAAUGAUCCGGUGAGGUCCUGAUGAGUCCGCUUAUGCAUGGCAGCGUUCUGUGCCAUUGUUGGAGCAUUCUCUAAUAGUUCGGAGAUGAACGAACUCGAUCGCUUAGAGGAAAUAAAAGUUGUAACAAGGUUUCUGUAGGUGAACCUGUGGAAG